AAUCCUGGUCGGACAUCAGGAGGUUAGUGCAAUGGCAUAAGCCAGCUUGACUGCGAGCGUGACGGCGCGAGCAGGUGCGAAAGCAGGUCAUAGUGAUCCGGUGGUUCUGAAUGGAAGGGCCAUCGCUCAACGGAUAAAAGGUACUCCGGGGAUAACAGGCUGAUACCGCCCAAGAGUUCAUAUCGACGGCGGUGUUUGGCACCUCGAUGUCGGCUCAUCACAUCCUGGGGCUGAAGUAGGUCCCAAGGGUAUGGCUGUUCGCCAUUUAAAGUGGUACGCGAGCUGGGUUUAGAACGUCGUGAGACAGUUCGGUCCCUAUCUGCCGUGGGCGCUGGAGAACUGAGGGGGGCUGCUCCUAGUACGAGAGGACCGGAGUGGACGCAUCACUGGUGUUCGGGUUGUCAUGCCAAUGGCACUGCCCGGUAGCUAAAUGCGGAAGAGAUAAGUGCUGAAAGCAUCUAAGCACGAAACUUGCCCCGAGAUGAGUUCUCCCUGACCCUUUAAGGGUCCUGAAG
rnacentral:rRNA from 1 species